GGGGUUGUGGCUCAAGUGGUAGAGUGCUCGCCUAGCACAUGUGAGGCACUGGGUUCGAUCCUCAGAACCACA
rnacentral:tRNA from 1 species